UACGGAGGGUGCGAGCGUUAAUCGGAAUUACUGGGCGUAAAGGGUGCGUAGGUGGUAGGGUAAGUUAUCUGUGAAAUCCCUGGGCUCAACCUGGGCAGGUCAGAUAAAACUGCUGUACUCGAGUAUGGGAGAGGGUAGGUGGAAUUUCCGGUGUAGCGGUGAAAAUGCGUAGAGAUCGGAAGGAACACCAGUGGCGAAGGCGGCUACCUGGCCUAAUACUGACACUGAGGCACGAAAGCGUGGGGAAGCAAACAGGGAUU
rnacentral:rRNA from 1 species